GCUUACGGCCACACCACCCUGAACACGCCCGAUCUCGUCCGAUCUCGGAAGCUAAGCAGGGUCGGGCCUGGUUAGUACUUGGAUGGGAGACCGCCUGGGAAUACCAGGUGCUGUAAGUU
ensembl:rRNA 5S_rRNA 5S ribosomal RNA